rnacentral:rRNA from 1 species
UGGGGAAUUUUGGACAAUGGGCGAAAGCCUGAUCCAGCAAUGCCGCGUGUGUGAAGAAGGCCUUCGGGUUGUAAAGCACUUUUGUCCGGAAAGAAAUCCUUGGCUCUAAUACAGUCGGGGGAUGACGGUACCGGAAGAAUAAGCACCGGCUAACUACGUGCCAGCAGCCGCGGUAAUACGUAGGGUGCAAGCGUUAAUCGGAAUUACUGGGCGUAAAGCGUGCGCAGGCGGUUUGCUAAGACCGAUGUGAAAUCCCCGGGCUCAACCUGGGAACUGCAUUGGUGACUGGCAGGCUAGAGUAUGGCAGAGGGGGGUAGAAUUCCACGUGUAGCAGUGAAAUGCGUAGAGAUGUGGAGGAAUACCGAUGGCGAAGGCAGCCCCCUGGGCCAAUACUGACGCUCAUGCACGAAAGCGUGGGGAGCAAACAGGGAUUAGAUACCCUGGUAGUCCACGCCCUAAAACGAUGUCAACUAGUUGUUGGGGAUUCAUUUCCUUAGUAACGUAGCUAACGCGUGAAGUUGACCGCCUGGGGAGUACGGUCGCAAGAUUAAAACUCAAAUGAAUUGACGGGGUCAUAGCUG